rnacentral:rRNA from 1 species
GGAGGAAGGAGCGGGCCACGGCAGGUCAGUAUGCCCCGAAUCCCCCGGGCCGCACGCGACGUUCAAUGGUGGGGACAAUGGGUUGCGACCCCGAAAGGGGGAGCCAAUCCCUAAACCCCACCUCAGUUGGGAUCGAGGGUUGCAACUCGCCCUCGUGAACGCGGAAUCCCUAGUAACCGCCCGUUACCAUCGGGCGGUGAAUACGUCCCCGCUCCUUGCACACACUGCCCGUCGCUGCAUCCGAGCUGGGUCUGAGCGAGGCCCAGUCUUGUUGGCUGGGUCGAGCUCAGACUUGGCGAGGAGGCAGAAGUCGUAACAAGGUGGCCGUACGGGAACGUGCGGCCGGAUCACCUCCUACCG